GGGAAGUGAGCGACUUUAUCUAAAGCUUCUAACUUUAGAAAAAGAGGUUUAACUCCUUUUACUUCCCU
rnacentral:tRNA from 1 species